rnacentral:rRNA from 1 species
CAGUGGGGAAUAUUGCACAAUGGGGGAAACCCUGAUGCAGCGACGCCGCGUGAGCGAAGAAGUAUUUCGGUAUGUAAAGCUCUAUCAGCAGGGAAGAAAUUGACGGUACCUGAGUAAGAAGCUCCGGCUAAAUACGUGCC